GGGACACAGGGAAGAUCCCUGUGGCACUUCACUGGAUAUUUUCCUCCAGGCUGAAGCAGAGCCAUGAAUGAGAACCUUUUGAGUGUAGCCAUUCAGCUAAUGGCUGAAAAGAAAACAUGAAACAAAGAAGAGUUGCUUUAAAGAUUGGCAGAGAGGUAAUCCAGAACACAAGAAUAACAAUCCAGUAAGAGCAAAAUGUGUGGCAAAGCAGAGUUAUUAAAAACAACCUAAUAGCAGCUCCUUCCGAGCACCACCCCACAAGCCAGAUCUCCCUCAGACUGAUUUUCUAUCUUUGGACUCAACUUACAACCAUUUGUCAUGUACAUACAUAUAUCUGAGCCAGACUGUUUUGUUUCUCUAUGUCAUCGAAUA